rnacentral:tRNA from 1 species
AGAGACUUAGGAUAAUUUAGACCAAGAGCCUUCAAAGCUCUAAGUAGAAGUUAAAAUCUUCUAGUCCCUG